rnacentral:misc_RNA from 1 species
GAUGAAGAACGUAGUGAAAUGCGAUAAGUAAUGUGAAUUGCAGAAUUCAGUGAAUCAUCGAAUCUUUGAACGCACCUUGCGCCCUUUGGCCAUUCCGAAGGGCAUGCCUGUUUGAGUAUCAUGAACACCUCAACUCUCAUGGCUCGCCAUGAUGAGCUUGGAUUUGGGGGUCUUGCUGGCCUGUGGUCGGCUCCUCUCAAAUGGAUCAGCUUGCCAGUGUUUGGUGGCAUCACAGGUGUGAUAACUAUCUGCGCUUGUGGUUUUCCAUCAGAUAACCUUCAGUGAUGGAGGUUCGCUGGAGCUCAUAAACGUCUCCCCUAAGCGGGGACAGCCCUUUGAAUGUUUGAUCUCAAAUCAGGUAGGACUACCCGCUGAACUUAAGCAUAUCAAUAAGCGGAGGA